CCAAAACAACAGGAUUUAUAAGAUGCUCUGGCCGGUUAUCGUAACAUUCCACGGUUAAAUAAUAAAUCUGCUAGGGGAACGCUUCCCGAGAAGAAGACAAUUUACGAGACUAUUUUACAGAUCACAAUGACCUGGUGCAACCUAUCGAGGUCCGGACCGCUCAAUGGUUCCUGGCUUCAAAUCAGCCACGGAAAAUACUCCAAUCGACUUACCCGAUUCCGUGGCAAGCUCAUGCGAGCUAGUACCGAUUCGCGCCAGUACUAU